rnacentral:misc_RNA from 1 species
GCGGUGUUCAAGUUGAUAAUUAUUUGCCAUGAUAAAAUGACUAAUUAUACUUCUGCUGAUUUACUUGAUCAAAGUUGCUUCAACUUUAAGAUCGUUUCCUUGACUUCUUAUUGCUGCUCAUUGGAUUGUACACGUUCAUCAUGGUUUACAAAUGAUGGUAAGCGCUAACCACUCAAACGAAAAUGAUUGAGAAGCGUUGAGAUUACUUUUCAGAUAUUCAUCUCUGUGCCAUUUGGUAGUCUAGUGGUAAUACCAACCUUCAGAGCAUUCCGUUCAUGUAGUUCUCCUUGAGAUUAUGUAAUGCUUGCUGAAUAGAUUCUUCAUCUUGGCUGGAAUACUUUAAGCAUAUCAAUCGUUGGGCAACACGAUACAGCAUCUGCAGUUGAUGAUACAGUUGGCAGUUUACUUCCAUCUGCUUUAUUUCCUUUUCUUUGAUCUUUGACGUGAUGCUUCUAGCCGUUUCAAUCACUGAACUUGGUAAGCCAGCCACUUCUGCCAACAGAAGGCCAUAAUGUGGUACAUGUCUUGGUCCAUCCUUGAGUUGAAACUUGAAAUCUAAACGGUUGUUUUUAAUGGCAACAUCAAAGUGAAGAAGCUUGACACUUGGGUAGAUGGUUGCUAGUUCUGAUAGGUUCUCCAUAUGAGUAGCAAAUAUUGUAUACGCUUUGAGUGAUAGCAGAUGCUCACAGCAGCUCCAGGCAAUUGCAAAUCCAUCAGAAGAAGAAGUAGCUCUCCCAAGCUCAUCCAUAAUUAUCAGGCUUCUAUUAACAAAGUAAAGUUGUGAAUAUAUAUUUCACAUUUCUGUUGGUAAGAGCAGAUGAUAUGUCACCUCUGGGACAGAUUUUGCAUGACAAAAGCUGUCUCCUUCAUCUCUGUCAUAAACUGUAGCACCCAAAGUAAAAACAACAGCAUGACAUGGUUUCCUACAAUCAAAACGUACUGGAGUUUGAUUCAAGAUUAUCCACAGAACCCAUCCUUGUAAAUAUACGAUCAACUACCCUUAUGGUUGAGAAGCGAGCAGGAACAUAACAACCGAUAUGAGCCAGAAUAACAAUAAGACAAACUUGUUGAAGAUAAGUGCUCUUUCCACUCAUGUUCGGGCCCAUGACAAUGACCAUGUUUGACGCUUCUGAAAUAAAGAGAUUGUUGGGAACAAAGUCAUUGUGAAUACUUUCCAGGACAGGAUGUCUUCCAGCUUCAAUUGCGAAUGGACCAUUAUUUGUGAAUUCUGGUCUAGAAUAUCGAUCAACAAGCUUAGUUGAUAUUACAUGAGCAAAUGAAUUAACAAUCAUAUCCAGAAGGCAUAGAACCUCUGCAAGCAGGGCAAGCGUGGAGACAUGCUCUCUUAUAGCAUCUAAUAGAGCUUCAAGGCAAACUUCUGUUCUUAUAUAGCACUCUUCAGCUGCCGACUUAUUCCUGACAUUCAGAGAAGCAAGUUCCAAAGUAGAGCAAUGUACAUUGUUUCCAUGUUUCAGGACCUGAAUGAACUUGCUUGGGAGCUUUCCCUGGAUGUCCUUCAGUGGAAUGCUAAAGUAAAAGCCUUGUCUAUUAUUGAAAGGAAGUUUUAGGUUUGGCAGCUUGAAUUCUUCACGGUAUUUGUUUGCAAGAUUAUGUAUAGCUUCACUAGUAUCACAAAAUGUUCUCCGUGCAAUAUCCAAAAGUCCGUCAAUUCCAGCCUUGACAGCAAAACACUGCUGUGUUCGGGCAACAAAAGGAACCCUUGCAUGAAGCACAUCUUCAUCUAUCACCUCACCAAUUCUCUUUCUGAUGGAAGCAUAUUUCUCAUUUUCACAGACCGUCUUGUAAAUAUUUGCAAGAAGAAAACUUUUUGCAUCUUUAAGCACCUUUGAGAGUAAAGGCAAGGCAUCUAAAGCAGUUUUAAGAAGAAUAAUACUUGAUAUCAACACUUGGCUCCUUCUAGCAUUAUCAGUACCUAAGACCUCAUUCGUAACUUUCUUUGGCUUGAAGCAGAAAUGACAAAGAACUCUAUCAGUCUCUUUUGGAAACUUACGCAGAACCUG